CGAAGGGAAACCGAGUCUUAACUGGGCGUUAAGUUGCAGGGUAUAGACCCGAAACCCGGUGAUCUAGCCAUGGGCAGGUUGAAGGUUGGGUAACACUAACUGGAGGACCGAACCGACUAAUGUUGAAAAAUUAGCGGAUGACUUGUGGCUGGGGGUGAAAGGCCAAUCAAACCGGGAGAUAGCUGGUUCUCCCCGAAAGCUAUUUAGGUAGCGCCUCGUGAACUCAUCUUCGGGGGUAGAGCACUGUUUCGGCUAGGGGGUCAUCCCGACUUACCAACCCGAUGCAAACUGCGAAUACCGAAGAAUGUUAUCACGGGAGACACACGGCGGGUGCUAACGUCCGUCGUGAAGAGGGAAACAACCCAGACCGCCAGCUAAGGUCCCAAAGUCACAGUUAAGUGGGAAACGAUGUGGGAAGGCUCAGACAGCCAGGAUGUUGGCUUAGAAGCAGCCAUCAUUUAAAGAAAGCGUAAUAGCUCACUGGUCGAGUCGGCCUGCGCGGAAGAUGUAACGGGGCUAAACUGUGCACCGAAGCUGCGGCAGCGACGCUUAUGCGUUGUUGGGUAGGGGAGCGUUCUGUAAGCCUGCGAAGGUGUCCUGUGAGGGAUGCUGGAGGUAUCAGAAGUGCGAAUGCUGACAUAAGUAACGAUAAUGCGGGUGAAAAGCCCGCUCGCCGGAAGACCAAGGGUUCCUGUCCAACGUUAAUCGGGGCAGGGUGAGUCGACCCCUAAGGCGAGGCCGAAAGGCGUAGUCGAUGGGAAACGGGUUAAUAUUCCCGUACUUGGUGUUACUGCGAAGGGGGGACGGAGAAGGCUAUGUUGGCCGGGCGACGGUUGUCCCGGUUUAAGCGUGUAGGCUGGUUUUCCAGGCAAAUCCGGAAAAU
rnacentral:rRNA from 1 species